UUUCUUUUUUUUUAAAUAGAUUAGCCUUAUAGUGUAAGGGCGGGUAUUAUGUUAUUUGCGGAUUUUACCUUUAGUUAGGUUAAAUCCUUACGUGGGCCGAGCGGGUAAUAUAGCGGAACGUUACUACAGCAUACAUAAGAUAGUGGUGUUUUAUUUAAUAAUAGGUGAGAGCGAGACGGUUCAUGAGUGAACAGGCACGAUAUGACGCGGUGUAAGGGUCUGGGGCCUGGGCUGCGCAAGCGGCAGACAGAGAGGCUUACAGCUGUUUCCGCGGCCGGUCGACAUAAAUUAUUGAUUUAGGCAGAUUUCAAUGCGUUGCUCAAUAUUAAUAAUUACUAAAAUUAACAGUUACGUAAUAAAUAUAUAGUGUGUGUUGGAUGAAGCCCGCUCUAGGGUCCUAAGUUACCGUUGACGUUGAAGCUGCCUUGGUGCUUGUGGUUCUGAGGACGUCGCUCCACAUCGAACAAUCGUUCUAUCUUCCUGGCGCUGGAAGAUCACCGCAUCCAGAUCGCCGAGCGUGACUAAUCGGGAUCUCGCAGGAGAGUACCAACUAUAGCAGAAUCCGAUAGAACCUACCACGACUUUUUUUUAAUCGUGUUAUCCUACCAAAUUAUAUUAUAAAUUCUUAUUAAAAUUAAAAAUUUAACUGAGGCACUA